UGUUCAACAUAUUUAGCACUCA
ensembl:ncRNA